rnacentral:rRNA from 1 species
UACGUAGGUGGCAAGCGUUGUCCGGAAUUAUUGGGCGUAAAGCGCGCGCAGGCGGUCCUUUAAGUCUGAUGUGAAAGCCCACGGCUCAACCGUGGAAGGUCAUUGGAAACUGGAGGACUUGAGUACAGAAGAGGAGAGCGGAAUUCCACGUGUAGCGGUGAAAUGCGUAGUGAUGUGGAGGAACACCAGUGGCGAAGGCGGCUUUCUGGUCUGUAACUGACGCUGAGGCGCGAAAGCGUGGGGAGCAAACAGG